CUUUAUUAACUUUUUUCUUCUUGUGCUAAAUAAAUUUUACAACUUGAACCACAAUAAUACUAAUGACCGACAAUUUUAUAAAGUUUGUGUGGCUGCUAAAAUUUAAUUACAAUAGAAUAAACUGUGUUCACCGUAUCAGCGGUCGAGAAUCGAAUACCAGUUACCGAUAAUGUUAAUAUUUAUCCAUUAUACCUUUGAAUCUCUACGAUUUCAUUGAUAGUUAUAUCAGGUCACGAAACUAAAUUUAUCUAGGAUUAUAAGCAUUCAACAAUAUCUUGUCAAUGGUAAACUUGGUUAACAGUUUUUUAUUAUAAAGUUAAAUCUCUUUACAAUAUACAUUUAAUUUAUAUUGUUCAUUUCAAUCUCAUUAAAUAUUUUGUCUUAAAAAAUUAUACAAAAAAUAUAGGUAUGAUAACGCAUUUGCUUAUUGUUCAUCAUCAAAAAUACAGCAUAUUUACAAACCUCAGUAACAAUGAUGCUAUGCAAUAUGUGUCAAAAUUUAAUUCUUAUUUAAAUUAAAUUUUUGUGUGCUAAAUUUAAGAUAGCUUCCACUCUUUUUAAACUUUUUUGAUGAUUCAAUGUUGAUUUUUGACAUUUUUAAAUAUACACAUAUAAAUAUAAUAGCAUAUAUGUUACAAGAAUACAUUGCCAACAAAUGGUAGAACUGUAACAAAGCAUAGACAGUAGUUGGAAAUCAAGGGAUAAAUCAUUGAAAAUAAAGUGGUAUACGCGUGCGUAAUGUACAUACAUCGACCACGUGAUUCAUCUCAACAGACUCGUGCUCUGGUGUUAACUAGUGUACUCCUUAAUUCCAUAUAAAUUAUCUAUUUUUGGCUACUAUAUACUAAAUAUUAGAUUAAAUAUAUAUACAUAUGUAUAGCUAAUAAUAUAUAUGUAUUAAUUUUAUAUAUCUAGUUUAAAAUAUUAAUUUUUAUAUAUAUUUACUGAAAUGUCAGAAAAAUUUUCUAUAGUUUCUUUUCAUGCAUGAAACGUGUUAGUAAUCCUGUUAAAUCUGCUAUAAAUUUAACUUUUUUAGCUUAUAAAUUGUGAUAUUUGUCUCAUGAAAGAAAUUUCUAACUAUUAUAUUAUUUAUCAUGCUCUUUCUUCUUCCAUAAGAAAGUAGAUUGCAACAAUGUUCUUCAUUACAAUAAGGUACGCUGAGGUAUGUACGUAACUGAGAUUUAAAUGUCUGCUAGCACUUACUUUACUGCGCAUGUGAGAACAUCCCUCUGCAUUCUGCAUUCUGCAUCCCCCACUGGCCCAAGACAGAACAGGUUAUACAUCGUUAUUGAUUAUAGACAUAAUACAUAUUAUUGGUAAUGUAAAAAAUACCGUGAAAACGUGCAACAUAUAAUUGUGUGCGGCCUUUUUUACGUAAAUAUUACUGUUUUAUAUGAACGUAGUAAUAAAUAGGAUCGAAAGAAUACAUAACGUAUUUAUUUAUUUUAUAGUCCAUGCCUUGUAAACGGACUUGAUUUACAAUAAAAAUCUUACAUUCCACAUCUUUUACAUAUUUAUUCUUCUUUAUUCACAUUUUCUCACUCUUUUUUCGCUACUGCAUCACUCUUUCCUUAUCAUUUACUAACUCUCUUACCGUUCUACUAAUCUCAAUCUUCCUAAUGUUUGUGUGAAAUAUUUUAGUUUUUUUUCUUUGUCUGCAUCUUUUAUUUCUUUUUCUCCAAAUCUCUCUUUUCCUCUUCAUUUCCCACCUUAAGUCCAGCUACAAUCUCCUUUCCUUGAGAACUUUGUCAUCCUUUAUACUACUUUAUCUUUGUAUUCUGUACAAUACUUUCAAUCGCUUAUCUUGUCGAAAAUGCAUUAUUCCCAUCUCUCUCUUUCUUUCACUAUUAUAACCUCCGUCACACUUGGCCUCGUCUCCUUCAGCCUCCUUACUUCCUCCAUGUUGUAUCUAUUUCUUCUAAAUACUAGUCUCUUCUCCGUAAUUCCUUCUUUAUUCUUCUCUCUUAUGUAUUCUUUAAUCUAGUCCUUUAUUGCUUUCUCUUGCUUUUUCUUCAAAAACCAGUUUUUCUCAGAACUUUUCUCAGAAAUCUCAAUCCAAUUUUCUAUCUCUCUCUCUGUUUCCUUCCAAACAAUUUAAUCUAAGGUAUAGUAAUCUAAUGUUCAUUUGAAGCACCUUUUCUGUAUUCUUAUAUUCUUUUCAACGCCACACCUCCGCUGCAUAACUCAUAACUCCCAUCAUCAGAUAAUCGAACAGCAUCACUCUUCUCUUAUAAUCAUCCCCGAAUCUUCUCUUUACGACACCAGUCCCAUCACCAUUUCUUAUCUUUUUUACAGCUUGUUCUUUUUUUCUACUAUCUUGCCUUAAGAAAAAACCUAAACAUUUCAUCUUUUUGACCUCUGUUUCAAGCCCUCUUUUUCCUUUUUUUCUCUUGUACUUCAGACCUCUAUGACUUUUGACUUAGAUGUAUGAGUUGCAACUUCUUUUUUGCAAGAUAUAUAGUUUCUUAUAUAUACUCUUUCAUCUCUGCUUCACUCUCUGCAAUCAUUACUACAUCAUCAGCAUACAAUGACCAAAAUUUACUUUUUCCUAAUACCAUCCUCCUGCUUGUCCUAUAUCCUUAAAACUUUUUUUGGAUCUGAUAUAAACAAUGAGAACGGUAUGGAACUCAAUGAACAGCCUUGGCUCACAUCUCUUCCCGUCCAGAAACUGUCCGUUAUCUUUUCAUUUACCUUCACCACGUCUCCUCAUAAAUCUUUAUUACUCUUUCUAUUCCCCUUCCUUAUACCUCAUCUCUCCAUCAUUUUCCGUAAUUCCUAUCUGUCUACGGCCGUUGUCAAAGGCCGUAUUCAGGUUCAUAAAAAAAACCACAUUCUUACUUCCCUUUUCACAUGUUUCAGUAUGUACAUAUUUCAGUAUGUACAAAUUGGCCAUUGUACAUCUCUACAUCUCCUCUUUCUAAAGCCGGGCUCUGUCUCCGGAAUUAUUUAUUUUUCUUUUGCAUCUCUUUUCAGUCUCUCAUCCAAAAUUUUAUAUGUUGUGCCCAACAGCAACAUCUCUCUGUAGUUCGAAAACUCUACAAUUAGGAAAAGGUUUAUAACAAAAUUUUAUAGAAACGGAUCUACAUACAAGAAAAAUUCGUAAACUUUCUCAGAAAUUUCCAAACUGACUCUAUCAUAAAAUGUAAACGGACGUAAAAAAAAAAAA